GCCCCAUAGUCUGGGAUACCACUUGGAAACAGGUGCUAAUACCGGAUAAGAAAGCGGAUCGCAUGAUCAGCUUUUAAAAGGCGGCGUAAGCUGUCGCUAUGGGAUGGCCCCGCGGUGCAUUAGCUAGUUGGUAAGGUAAAGGCUUACCAAGGCUAUGAUGCAUAGCCGAGUUGAGAGACUGAUCGGCCACAUUGGGACUGAGACACGGCCCAAACUCCUACGGGAGGCAGCAGCA
rnacentral:rRNA from 1 species